ACGAGCCGCUGGCGGCGUGCUUAAACAUGCAAGUCGAACGAUGAACCACCUUCGGGUGGGGAUUAGUGGCGAACGGGUGAGUAACACGUGGGCAAUCUGCCCUGCACUCUGGGACAAGCCCUGGAAACGGGGUCUAAUACCGGAUACUGAUCCUCGUAGGCAUCUGCGAGGUUCGAAAGCUCCGGCGGUGCAGGAUGAGCCCGCGGCCUAUCAGCUUGUUGGUGAGGUAAUGGCUCACCAAGGCGACGACGGGUAGCCGGCCUGAGAGGGCGACCGGCCACACUGGGACUGAGACACGGCCCAGACUCCUACGGGAGGCAGCAGUGGGGAAUAUUGCACAAUGGGCGAAAGCCUGAUGCAGCGACGCCGCGUGAGGGAUGACGGCCUUCGGGUUGUAAACCUCUUUCAGCAGGGAAGAAGCGAAAGUGACGGUACCUGCAGAAGAAGCGCCGGCUAACUACGUGCCAGCAGCCGCGGUAAUAA
rnacentral:rRNA from 1 species